CCCUUAGAUGUUCUGGGCCGCACGCGCGCUACACUGAUGAAUUCAACGAGUUUUCCACCUUGACCGAGAGGUCCGGGAAAUCUUUUCAACUUUCAUCGUGCUGGGGAUAGAUUAUUGCAAUUGUUAAUCUUGAACGAGGAAUUCCUAGUAAGCGCGAGUCAUCAGCUCGCGUUGAUUACGUCCCUGCCCUUUGUACACACCGCCCGUCGCUCCUACCGAUUGAGUGGUCCGGUGAGGCCUUGGGAGGGCUAAGUAGACUGUGUUUUCAUGGACUACCUGGCCCGAACCUGGUCAACCUUAUCACUUAGAGGAAGGAGAAGUCGUAACA
rnacentral:rRNA from 1 species